ensembl:snRNA U1 U1 spliceosomal RNA
UUCCUUACCUGGCAGCGGAGACACCAUGAUCAAGAAGGCGGUUCACCCAGGGCGAGGCUCGUUCAUUGCACUCCGGCCGUGCUGAUCCCUGCAAUUCAUCAUGUCACUCCUCUUCACAUCGUGCCUAACCACAGCCCUUAGCUGUUAUAAAUUGACAGUAAACC